rnacentral:rRNA from 1 species
GAUCAUGGCUCAGGAUGAACGCUAGCGGGAGGCCUAAUACAUGCAAGUCGAACGGUAACAGGUAGCAAUACGCUGACGAGUGGCGCACGGGUGCGUAACGCGUACACAAUCUGCCUUAUACUGGGGCAUAGCCUUUGGAAACGAAGAAUAAUUCCCCAUAACAUAUAGAAGAGGCAUCUCUUUUAUAUUAAAGCUCAGGCGGUAUAAGAUGAGUGUGCGUCCGAUUAGGUAGUUGGUGAGGUAACGGCUCACCAAGCCAACGAUCGGUAGCUGGUCUGAGAGGAUGAUCAGCCACACGGGCACUGAGACACGGGCCCGACUCCUACGGGAGGCAGCAGUAGGGAAUAUUGGACAAUGGGCGCAAGCCUGAUCCAGCCAUCCCGCGUGAAGGAUGAAGGUCCUCUGGAUUGUAAACUUCUUUUCUUCGGGAAUAAAAACUGGGGUUCUCCUCAGCUUGAAGGUACCGAAGGAAUAAGCACCGGCUAACUCCGUG